UACGGAGGAUGCAAGCGUUAUCCGGAUUUAUUGGGCGUAAAGCGUCCGCAGGUGGUUGUUCAAGUCUGCUGUUAAAGCGCGAGGCUUAACCUUGUACAGGCAGUGGAGACUGAGCGACUAGAGUAUGGUAGGGGUAGCGGGAAUUCCCAGUGUAGCGGUGAAAUGCGUAGAUAUUGGGAAGAACACCAGCGGCGAAAGCGCGCUACUGGGCCAUUACUGACACUCAUGGACGAAAGCUAGGGGAGCGAAAGGG
rnacentral:rRNA from 1 species